UAAAGGGUUGAGGACCUUACAAACUCCUUUUCUUCAUCUGGGUUUGGGGUUGGACAUAUUUUGAUCCGCCCUAUUUAAGCCUGUAAAACAGAAUUAAUGAACUCUAACCACCCCAACUCAUGCAGUCACUGUUAAAGCUAAGUAAACCUAACCACCUCCAUGUUUCUUAUGAAUUCAAUAAAAGCAUGCUGUUUAUUGCAACCACCUUCUUCCACCAUUUAUUUAUUUGUGUCUCGCCAGAGAAUAAGAACAGAAGAACUAUUGGGGGAGGAUGAAGAAGAAAAAGUACUAGCAGAAGCAAGGACAUCUGCCUCUGCCAAGCUUCUUCUGGUGUCAAAUUUGCCGAUAUUAUAUUAACAAUUCCUGGCUUGAUCAAUCCUCUACUCUUCUGGCCAUCUGCUCUGUUAGUCUGAAGUCAGUUGCCAGUCUACGGUCAUGACAUCCUCAUCUAAUAUGCGAUUGCUGUGAAUUAUGGUACCUCGCUUCGAGAGUUCUCAUCUCGAAGAAAAUCAAAAACUCUCUUUGGUGGGACUGGAAUCCAGAAAGAAGUUGCAGCACUGAGCACAAUACCGGGAGGCCUGCCCGGGUCAUCCAUACUUUUUCU